AUGAAGUGGGCGCCGAAGGAGAUCGGUCAGAAGGGCGCACCGCUCGACUCAGUUGGCGUCGAGAAGGUGAUCGGCACUUUCGGGUUCUUGCUGUUUGGGUCCCUUUCGCUCUAUCCCUGCACUGUCGAGCUCCUCAAGGACUUCAGGGACACCUACAAGAGCUUCGUCCUGCUGAGUUUUGGAUUCAUUUGGGUGCUGGUGAGCGUCGGGGUCCUGUGUGGACUCCACGGGAGGUCGGCCUUCGAGCAGGCGGUGUGCAGGCACACCGGCCGUCUCGGCUUGCUCGGUUUAGCGGCACUACUCAUGUUGCACGUUUGUUGCGCGCUCCCCGGGGACACCUGCACCACCAUACUCUUCUGGGUGUUGGGGGUUGGGGCGGUCGUGUUUCACCUUAUGUCAUGGUACACGAGCCUGUUUCUUGGGGAGGACAAGCCUGAGGAGAUCGCAGCAACAGACCAGAAGUAG
rnacentral:rRNA from 1 species